ensembl:snRNA U1 U1 spliceosomal RNA
UUACUUACCUGGCAGGGGAGAUACCAUGAUCAUGAAGGUGGUUUUCCCAGGGCAAGGCUUAUCCGUGCACUCUGGAUGUGCCAACCCUGCGAUUUCUCCAAAUGUGGGAAACUCGACUGCAUAAUUUGUGGUAGUGGGGGACUGCAUUUGUGCUUUCCCCUG